UAAACUUUGGCAUGGCAUCUGGGUUGCAACAUUUAUGAAAUUGGUUUUUUGGGUAUUCGUUAAUUUGUAAUUAUUUUGAGAAUGAAUUUCACUUGUUUAAUUAUUAAAAGAAGGGAUUUUGGAUUUGGAACCUGGAAAGUGUAAUUCUGCCAUUAGAUUUCUGGGGUUUUCAUUGUUCUUGGAAUUUGAAUUGAUAUUGUUGAUUUUGAUUUGGAUGAUAAGCUGCAUUAUUCUGAGGUCAUUGUUUUGUUGAUUUUUUUAUUUUUAUUUUUCAGUGAUUUUUGGUGGAAGUUAGUAGGAUUUGAAUUUCAUAUGGAUGUGCAUUUGAAGAACUUGGUUGGUAGGUUCCAUGAGCAAUUUGGAUCUGGGCCAGGACUUGGUCCUGCAUCUAGUACUUGCUUGAUGAAAGUGGAGGGUGUAACUGCUUCUUUCAUCAAGUCACUCUAUAGAGCUGGUGCAGCUCUAUAUAGGACUGAUCCAUGGAGGCGAUUACGGCCCGGGCAUUUCUUUGGUGUUAGGGUUGGCAAAAACUCUGAGUGGCCUGGCAGAGUGCAGCCAUUUCCCUGUGUCCAAUUCAUUGGGGGGGAUGGUGGGGAUCUAGCGUUUUAUUUAUAUCGAUCUGAGAAUGAUGCUCAGGAGGCAACGAAGCUAAGAGAAACCGUUCCUGCCCCGAAUACUGAGAUUAUGAGAGUGACCUUUGAGAAAGAGUCCUUAAUGUUUCCUUGUCACAAGAAAAUGAUAAAGUCUUUGGCUCUUGAAGGAACCGAGUACUUUCCUGUUUUUGAUGUUGUGUGUUGCAAUUCUGAUGGUGAGCUUAGAUAUAGGAUUCCAAUGUUUGAGGAGCUUAGAUUUGUGUAUGCUUCUAUGAGAGGUAUGACUUUGGUUCACCCUUUGCUACAAGAAGAUGUGCAAGCCACAACCAAAUGGUCUCAAUUUAUGCGUUUUGAGCCAUUUAUUGAGACGGUGGAUGUUCAAUGGCCUGCAGGGAUGGCCAAGGGCAACGAUAUUGUAGCAGUGACAGUUUCACAUCCACCUGGUCAGGCUUAUGAGGAAAAAUCCUUUUCGUCAGCCAACUCAACCACCACCGAGUAUACAGAACCAACCAGCGAAGACCAUUUUCUGACAUAAAAAGCAUACUAGAAGAUACUUUGGCGAUGUGCAAUGUGUGAGAAUUUCGCACUGAUUAGUCUUUUUCUUGCAGUAGGUCUUUGUGCGAUAGUUUAUUGUUUCCCUGAUUGCCAGAAGCAGCAUUGGAAGGAGUCUCAUAAGGGCAUGUGUGGCCUGUACAAAGCCAUAAAAUAAAGAGAAGAGGAGCUUCCCAUGAGAAUACUUUUAUUCCCUUCUUGCUUUUUCCUCAUGUCAUUGUUGCAUUGAACUGUUAAUUAGAGAGCAAAGGUGGGGUGGAGCUCUUGAGUUGAUCAAAUGAUUCAAAUCCAUGGGCGUAACUGCAUUUUUUACCAACCAGUCUGAAUUUUCUUGCACAAUUGUUAAGCAUGUUCUUCGUUCAGCUGCCCCGCUUAUCACUCAUCCUGUCAUUCCUCUUCCUUUCCGUUCUCUAGAAGACCUUCAGCAAAUGUGCCAUGUUACAGUAACUGCUUUGUCUGCUUGGGUUGACGACAAUGACUAAAUAUUGUGUGUAAUUGGAUUGUCAUUUUUAGUAUGAUGGAAAAUCCAUGAUAAAGAUAUAAGCUUUAAGCAGCAGGCCUUACCCAAAAGCAAAUGGACACAGGACACAUGAAACCAAGGUAUCAGGAUACUGAACUUUACUUAAACUUUACUAUUUCAGUAUUUCCAAUAUAGCUAGCACAUGGUACCUCUUUUUUUAAUUCUGUAGAUAUUAUAUUUGGGAUAAAAAUCUAGGGGCAAAACUGUCAUUUUGUAUCAGCCACCAAUCUUUCUGAUCCUCACCUCCCAAAAAUAUCUUUCCUUAUAGGGGCAUUGAAUUUAUUUUAUUAUUUUUUUUACUACCUUCGUUAAAUGUUGUGCGCAACUUUAGAAUAUUUUAUAUCUCAUAAAUAAUACCUCAAAAUUGCACAUAACAUUUAACGGAGAUAGUAAUUAAACAUUACUCCUUGUAGACUUCUGGUUGUGGACUCAAAUAUUCUGUGUCAUGUACAGUAUGUAUCUGAAAUAGUUAUCCUAAAAGAAGACAACUUGUAUAAAAG